rnacentral:misc_RNA from 1 species
CGUAGGUGAACCUGCGGAAGGAUCAUUAUUGAAUGAAACACUUCUGGCUUUCUGCUGUUGUGCUGGCCCUUUGGGCAAUGUGCACACGGCUCUGGUCACUUGUUUCUUCUGUUCCACCUGUGCACUGCCUGUAGACACGCUGUGUCUAUGAUAUUUGUUAACACACAACAAUGUUAGUUGGCAUGUUAUAUAUAAUAAUAAAAUAUACAACUUUCAACAACGGAUCUCUUGGCUCUC